rfam:Moniliophthora roreri strain MCA 2952 kmer90.96677, whole genome shotgun sequence.
GUGCCCGUAACUCAGUGGUAGAGUGUGAGAUUGCAAUUUAUGCAUCAGUCACAAACUUGUAUAUUCAAUCUCGAAGCCGCGUGUUCGAACCACGCCGGGCACU